rnacentral:rRNA from 1 species
UACGUAGGUGGCAAGCGUUGUCCGGAUUUACUGGGCGUAAAGAGCGCGCAGGCGGUCAGAUAAGUCGAAUGUGAAAGCCCCCGGCUCAACUGGGGAGGGUCAUUCGAUACUGUUCGACUCGAAGGCAGGAGAGGGAAGUGGAAUUCCCGGUGUAGUGGUGAAAUGCGUAGAUAUCGGGAGGAACACCAGUGGCGAAGGCGACUUCCUGGCCUGUUCUUGACGCUGAGGCGCGAAAGCUAGGGGAGCAAACGGGG